rnacentral:tRNA from 1 species
GGUCUGGUAGCUCAGUUGGAUAGAGUACUUGACUACGAAUCAAGGGGUCGGGGGUUCGAAUCCACCCCAGACCGCCA